rnacentral:tRNA from 1 species
GAUCAGGUGCUCGAGUGGUUAAGGCGAUGGACUGCUAAUCCAUUUGGGUUUUCCCGCGUGAGUUCGAAUCUCAUCCUGAUCG